rnacentral:rRNA from 1 species
GACGAACGCUGGCGGCGUGCUUAACACAUGCAAGUCGAACGGAAAGGCCCUGCUUUUGUGGGGUGCUCGAGUGGCGAACGGGUGAGUAACACGUGAGUAACCUGCCCUUGACUUUGGGAUAACUUCAGGAAACUGGGGCUAAUACCGGAUAGGAGCUCCUGCUGCAUGGUGGGGGUUGGAAAGUUUCGGCGGUUGGGGAUGGACUCGCGGCUUAUCAGCUUGUUGGUGGGGUAGUGGCUUACCAAGGCUUUGACGGGUAGCCGGCCUGAGAGGGUGACCGGCCACAUUGGGACUGAGAUACGGCCCAGACGGCUACGGGAGGCAGCAGUGGGGAAUAUUGCACAAUGGGCGGAAGCCUGAUGCAGCAACGCCGCGUGCGGGAUGACGGCCUUCGGGUUGUAAACCGCUUUCGCCUGUGACGAAGCGUGAGUGACGGUAAUGGGUAAAGAAGCACCGGCUAACUACGUG